GCAGGAGCCAGCCCUGCUCAGAUGGCCUCUUUCGUGACUGGGCCACUUUUCCUUUCAUGCAGAUGUGGUUAUUUCCGCAGAGAAAGCAUGGUACUAGUGAAAAGUCUAGAAGGGAGCACUGUGACAGUCUAGAUUUUCAUCUUCAUUGGAUUGAGAGACACCAAGGAAGUCAGUGAACUGCUCGUCUCUGUGAGGGUGUUUCCAGAGACAGCUGGCAUGGGGGACAGCAGAUGGAGGGAGAAACCAGCCUUGAGUAUGGCAGCAACACUGAGG
rnacentral:lncRNA from 1 species